GCUGGCAGUGAUGACCCAAUAAAUUCAAGCUCAACAGACCGGAAUGCAGGCUUCUCUAAUAUUCUUAGAGAUGUUUGCGUGUCGACAACCCCGCUGAACUGAGCCAUCUCUCUCUGUUUUCUCCUCUUCAAAAUUUCUUUACUUUCUUGAAUGAUUUGUCUUCGAUCUUCAAAAUUUCUAUGCUUAUCUGAAUGAUUUGUGUUUUCAAAUCUGUGGGAAAGGAAAGUUUGCUAUGAGGAUAACAAGCUCCCUCUUCUGAGUAUGGUUGAGGAAAAUUGUUGGCAGAAUCGAACCAAUAUACAAUCGCCACCACUGAGUCAAUCUUCCUUUCCCAGUUUUUCUAUUUGUUUUUGUUUUUGUUUUGUGUGUUCUGUGCUUCUGAAUCUAAUUAGUGGUGUUUUGGUUAGAUUGGGAUGAAGCAAAUAUCAAAUAAUCCAACACUUGAUCUGAGAUAUUCGUUAUCGAGUGAAGCUAACUGAUAUCACUUCUGAAUCUAA
rnacentral:lncRNA from 1 species